GAAAACGUGCACAUUUGUGAGUAUCACCUUUACUCUCUACUGCAACUUCUCACUUGCCAGUUCUCCACUUGUUCUUGCUGGUUGUAAGGCACUGAUGAAUUUUAGAACUGGAACCAUAUUAUAUCCAUCUUUGCAGUUCUAGAGCCUGGUAUCAGGUGUAGGUGUCAAGAAAUGGUUCCCAAUGGAAGCUUGCUGAUAGUGAUCUUCAACAGAUGAGACAAGAAAGGAGCCAGAAUGCUGAUUUACUAAUCCAGAUUACUUUCCACUAUUGUUUUGCUGAAACUCUCCAAUGUCAUGAGAAAAAUAACAAUGAUAAUAAUAAUACUAGUAGCA
rnacentral:lncRNA from 10 species